rnacentral:rRNA from 1 species
GACGAACGCUGGCGGCGUGCCUAAUACAUGCAAGUCGAACGAGAGCGACCGGUGCUUGCACUGGUCAAUCUAGUGGCGAACGGGUGAGUAACACGUGGGUAACCUGCUCAUCAGAGGGGGAUAACAUCCGGAAACGGAUGCUAAAACCGCAUAGGUCUUCGAGCCGCAUGGCUUGAAGAGGAAAAGAGGCGCAAGCUUCUGCUGAUGGAUGGACCCGCGGUGCAUUAGCUAGUUGGGGAGGUAACGGCUCACCAAGGCCGUGAUGCAUAGCCGACCUGAGAGGGUGAUCGGCCACAUUGGGACUGAGACACGGCCCAAACUCCUACGGGAGGCAGCAGUAGGGAAUCUUCCGCAAUGGACGCAAGUCUGACGGAGCAACGCCGCGUGAGUGAAGAAGGUUUUCGGAUCGUAAAACUCUGUUGUUAGAGAAGAACAAGUGCUAGAGUAACUGUUAGCGCCUUGACGGUAUCUAACCAGAAAGCCACGGCUAACUACGUG